CUCAGCCACAAGUGCUUGUCCCCAUUCUGUCCUCUGUAUUUUGCACAGCUGCAGGAAAAGAAGAAAGGAACUGAUCAAGCUGAGAAAACAAUCUUCCUUUUAGUCCUUGUUCUUCCUGAUGACAAGGGUCCACUACACCAUAUGCACACAAUGGUGCCCAGGUUUGGACUCUACAGGAAAUUUCAAUGUGCUAACAGUUGGCACUUUAUUUGUGGACACACCCUUUACUUCCAAAUGCACAGCACUUCAGCUUCAGGAAAGCAGUUACUGUAUGACAGCUUUUUAAAGUGACCUGUACAGCAUUCUUGGCAAAUACAUCCUGUUCCUUAAAUGGUGCUUUUGAUUUAGGGUUAAAAAUGAAAGGCAAAUCCCUGUGAACCAUUUAUGUCCCAUAUAUUGUCUGCAAUAAAACAAUUGUACAGUUUUUCUGGAGUAAAUUU
rnacentral:lncRNA from 1 species